GCCAGUAUGGUGCAGUGGUUUGAACUUUAGUCUAUAGCUGUGGAGAUCAGGGUUCAAAUCCCCACAUGGCCA